rnacentral:snRNA from 1 species
ACCAGUCUCUGAUGACAUGGCAG